AUUUUCCUCAGCCCCUGAUGCAUCUGGCUCACGUGGGAUCUAUUCCAACAGCAUGAUAACCACAAUAAUCAAGGUCUGCAGAGAGGCUGUAAAAGCACAGAGGACAGCUCCCAACUUAAGCUGAAUCUUUCUAAAACACAAGGUGUGGCUGAAGCUGAGGCCGUAUGGAGAGAUGGUGGGAGAUGAGGCUAAUACGGUGCAGGGACCAGACCAGAAAAGGCCAGCUUUGGCUAUUAUUCUGAUACGCAGCAAUCCAGACAUUACAGAACAGAUGUGCUGUGUAGAGGAGAGACCUACACAGCUCUCCUGUGUUAGAUAGUCCUCAAUUGUGUGACCUUGGGACUAAGACUGAAGCUAGAAGAUACCAAAAAAUUCAUCAACUGAGUUGGAAAAACAUUAGUCAGACUCUUGGCUGAAUCCCCUGUCUACAAGAUAGAAUGACUUCUGCUUCUUCCACCUUGUUUGGAUUUGCCUACAACACAGCACAUUAUGACAACCUAUGUUCAUUAGGCUGUCUCCAAGAAUGUUGACACAGGUUACAUCUAUUCCAUGGAAAACUAACUGGCUUAAAGUAAAAUUUUAGGU